GACGUAGGGCGCGAGCGUUGUCCGGAUUUAUUGGGCGUAAAGAGCUCGUAGGCGGUCUGUCGCGUCGAUCGUGAAAACUUGGGGCUUAACCCUGAGCUUGCGGUCGAUACGGGCAUGACUGGAGUUCGGCAGGGGAGACUGGAAUUCCUGGUGUAGCGGUGAAAUGCGCAGAUAUCAGGAGGAACACCGGUGGCGAAGGCGGGUCUCUGGGCCGAUACUGACGCUGAGGAGCGAAAGCGUGGGGAGCGAACAGG
rnacentral:rRNA from 1 species